AUUGAACGCUGGCGGCGUGCCUAACACAUGCAAGUCGAACGAAGAAAUUGUAGCAAUACGGUUUCUUAGUGGCGGACGGGUGAGUAACACGUAGGUGACCUGCCCCGAAGUGUGGAAUAACAGUCCGAAAGGAUUGCUAAUACCGCAUGUGGUUAUUGGAUCUAGAAACGGAUAACUAAAGGAGCAAUUCGCUUUGGGAGGGACCUGCGUCCCAUCAGCUAGUUGGUGAGGUAACGGCUCACCAAGGCUACGACGGGUAGGGGACCUGAGAGGGUGGCCCCCCACAAUGGAACUGAAACCCGGUCCAUACACCUACGGGUGGCAGCAGUAGGGAAUAUUGCACAAUGGGCGAAAGCCUGAUGCAGCAACGCCGCGUGUGCGAUGAAGGCCUUCGGGUCGUAAAGCACUUUUCUGAGAGAUGAGAAAGGACAGUAUCUCAGGAAUAAGUCUCGGCUAACUACGUGCCAGCAGCCGCAGUAAUAC
rnacentral:rRNA from 1 species